GUGGGUAGCGGUGAAAUUCCAAUCGAGCCCGGAGAUAGCUGGUUCUCCCCGAAAUAGCUUUAGGGCUAGCCUCAAGGUGAGAGAUACGGAGGUAGAGCACUGAAUGUCCUAGGGGGUAUUGCACCUACCGAAGACUAUCAAACUCCGAAUGCCGUCAUCUUAUACUUGGGAGUCAGACUGUGGGUGAUAAGAUUCAUAGUCGAAAGGGCAACAGCCCAGAUCGUCAGCUAAGGUCCCUAAAUGUAAGUUAAGUGGUAAAGGAUGUGGGAUUGCACAGACAACCAGGAUGUUGGCUUAGAAGCAGCCACUCAUUCAAAGAGUGCGUAAUAGCUCACUGGUCGAGUGAUCCUGCGCCGAAGAUUUCCGGGGCUAAAACUUACUACCGAAGCUACGGCAUCAGUAAUGAUGGGUAGGGGAGCUUCCCAUACAGGUUGAAGCAUGACCGUAAGGACAUGUGGACAGUAUGGGAGUGAGAAUGUUGGCAUGAGUAGCGAGAUGUGGGUGAGAAUCCCACAGGCCGUAAACCCAAGGUUUCCAGGGGAAGGGUCGUCCGCCCUGGGUUAGUCGGGACCUAAGCUGAGGCCGAAAGGCGUAGGUGAUGGACAACAGGUUGAUAUUCCUGUACUACCGAUAACCGUUUGAGAGAGGGGAUGACACAGUAGGAUAAGCUAAGCACACUGUUGGUUAUGUGUGCCCAAGCAUUGAGGCAGUCAAAGUAGGCAAAUCCGCUUUGAUAAUGCUGGGAUGUGAUGGGGAGCGAAAUUUAGUAGCGAAGUAGCUGAUUUCACACUGUCAAGAAAAGUCUCUAUCGAGGUUAAAGGUACCCGUACCGCAAACCGACACAGGUGGGUGAGGAGAGUAUCCUAAGGCCAGCGAGAGAACUGUUGUUAAGGAACUCGGCAAAAUGACCCCGUAACUUAGGGAUAAGGGGUGCCACCAUCAGGUGGCCGCAGAGAAUAGGCCCAAGCGACUGUUUACCAAAAACAUAGGUUUCUGCUAAGUCGCAAGACGAUGUAUAGG
rnacentral:rRNA from 1 species